rnacentral:misc_RNA from 1 species
CACAUCACCUCACCAGGCAGGG